AGGAGGAUGGUGUAAUUGGUUAGCACACGGGUCUUGAAAUCCGUAGUUCAGGUUCAAGUCCUGAUCUUCCUG
rnacentral:tRNA from 1 species